AGGACGAACGCUGGCGGCGUGCUUAACACAUGCAAGUCGAGCGGUAAGGCCUUUCGGGGUACACGAGCGGCGAACGGGUGAGUAACACGUGGGUGAUCUGCCCUGCACUCUGGGAUAAGCCUGGGAAGCUGGGUCUAAUACCGGAUAUGACCUGCUCUCGCAGUGGGGGUGGGUGGAAAGAUUUAUCGGUGCAGGAUGGGCCCGCGGCCUAUCAGCUUGGUUGGUGGGGUAAUCGGCCUACCAAGGCGACGACGGGUAGCCGACCUGAGAGGGUGACCGGCCACACUGGGACUGAGACACGGCCAGACUCCUACGGGAGCAGCAGUGGGAAUAUUGCACAAUGGGACGAAAGGCCUAGAUGCAGCGACGCGCGUGGAGGAUGAAGGCGUUCGGUAGUAACCU
rnacentral:rRNA from 1 species